rnacentral:rRNA from 1 species
AUUGAACGCUGGCGGCAGGCCUAACACAUGCAAGUCGAACGGUAACAGGAAGCAGCUUGCUUCUUUGCUGACGAGUGGCGGACGGGUGCGUAAUGUCUGGGAAACUGUCUGAUGGCGGGGGCUUACUACUGGAUACGGUUGCUAAUCCAGUGUAACGUCGCAAGAACACAGCGGGGGACCUUCGUGCCUCUUGCCAUCGGCUGUUGCCAGAUGGGAUUAGCUGGUAGGUUGGGUCACGGCUCACCUUGGCGACGAUCCCUAGCUGGUCUGAGAGGAUGAUCAGCCACACUGGAACUGAGACACGGUCCAGACUCCGGCGGGAGGCAGCAGUGGGGAAUAUUGCACGAUGGGCGAAAGCCUGAUGCAGCCAUGCCGCGUGUAUGAAGAAGGCCUUCGGGUUGGAAAGUACUUUCAGCGGGGGGGAAGGGAGUAAAGUUAAGACCGUUACUCAUUGACGUUACCCGCAGAAGAAGCACCGGCUAACUCCGUG